UACGGAGGGUGCGAGCGUUGUCCGGAAUCACUGGGCGUAAAGGGCGCGUAGGUGGCUCGUGAAGCGUGCGGUGAAAGUCCGAGGCUCAACCUCGGAUCGGCCGUGCGGACGUCGCGGGCUGGAGCGUUGUAGAGGCGGGUGGAAUUCCGGGUGUAGCGGUGGAAUGCGUAGAGAUCCGGAAGAACACCGGUGGCGAAGGCGGCCCGCUGGGCAACUGCUGACACUGAGGCGCGACAGCGUGGGGAGCAAACAGGAUUAGAUGACCCGUUGAGUCCCUAGAC
rnacentral:rRNA from 1 species